rnacentral:rRNA from 1 species
GGGUUGUGAGGUUAAGCGACUAAGCGUACACGGUGGAUGCCCUGGCAGUCAGAGGCGAUGAAGGGCGUGCUAAUCUGCGAUAAGCGCCGGUAAGGUGAUAUGAACCGUUAUAACCGGCGAUACCCGAAUGGGGAAACCCAGUGUGAUUCGUCACACUAUCAUUAACUGAAUCCAUAGGUUAAUGAGGCGAACCGGGGGAACUGAAACAUCUAAGUACCCCGAGGAAAAGAAAUCAACCGAGAUUCCCCCAGUAGCGGCGAGCGAACGGGGAGGAGCCCAGAGCCUGAAUCAGCAUGUGUGUUAGUGGAAGCGUCUGGAAAGGCGCGCGAUACAGGGUGACAGCCCCGUACACAAAAGCGCAUGUGCUGUGAGCUCGAUGAGUAGGGCGGGACACGUGGUAUCCUGUCUGAAUAUGGGGGGACCAUCCUCCAAGGCUAAAUACUCCUGACUGACCGAUAGUGAACCAGUACCGUGAGGGAAAGGCGAAAAGAACCCCGGCGAGGGGAGUGAAAAAGAACCUGAAACCGUGUACGUACAAGCAGUGGGAGCACAGGUUUACCUGUGUGACUGCGUACCUUUUGUAUAAUGGGUCAGCGACUUAUAUUCUGUAGCAAGGUUAACCGUAUAGGGGAGCCGGAGGGAAACCGAGUCUUAAUUGGGCGUUAAGUUGCAGGGUAUAGACCCGAAACCCGGUGAUCUAGCCAUGGGCAGGUUGAAGGUUGGGUAACACUAACUGGAGGACCGAACCGACUAAUGUUGAAAAAUUAGCGGAUGACCUGUGGCUGGGGGUGAAAGGCCAAUCAAACCGGGAGAUAGCUGGUUCUCCCCGAAAGCUAUUUAGGUAGCGCCUCGUGAAUUCAUCUCCGGGGGUAGAGCACUGUUUCGGCUAGGGGGCCAUCCCGGCUUACCAACCCGAUGCAAACUGCGAAUACCGGAGAAUGUUAUCACGGGAGACACACGGCGGGUGCUAACGUCCGUCGUGAAGAGGGAAACAACCCAGACCGCCAGCUAAGGUCCCAAAGUCAUGGUUAAGUGGGAAACGAUGUGGGAAGGCCCAGACAGCCAGGAUGUUGGCUUAGAAGCAGCCAUCAUUUAAAGAAAGCGUAAUAGCUCACUGGUCGAGUCGGCCUGCGCGGAAGAUGUAACGGGGCUAAACCAUGCACCGAAGCUGCGGCAGCGAACGUAUCACCCAAGACAACUUUACGGAGUUGACGAUUGACGGAGCGAAGCGACGUCAAAGCGUUCAUUAAAGUCGAGUUGGCUUAGGGAUACGUUCGUUGGGUAGGGGAGCGUUCUGUAAGCCUGUGAAGGUGUGUCGUGAGGCAUGCUGGAGGUAUCAGAAGUGCGAAUGCUGACAUAAGUAACGAUAAAGCGGGUGAAAAGCCCGCUCGCCGGAAGACCAAGGGUUCCUGUCCAACGUUAAUCGGGGCAGGGUGAGUCGACCCCUAAGGCGAGGCCGAAAGGCGUAGUCGAUGGGAAACGGGUUAAUAUUCCCGUACUUGGUGUUACUGCGAAGGGGGGACGGAGAAGGCUAUGUUGGCCGGGCGACGGUUGUCCCGGUUUAAGCGUGUAGGUGUGUGUUCCAGGUAAAUCCGGUUCACUUUAACACUGAGGCGUGACGACGAGGCACUACGGUGCUGAAGCAACAAAUGCCCUGCUUCCAGGAAAAGCCUCUAAGCAUCAGGUAACAUCAAAUCGUACCCCAAACCGACACAGGUGGUCAGGUAGAGAAUACCAAGGCGCUUGAGAGAACUCGGGUGAAGGAACUAGGCAAAAUGGUGCCGUAACUUCGGGAGAAGGCACGCUGACACGUAGGUGAAGUGAUUUACUCAUGGAGCUGAAGUCAGUCGAAGAUACCAGCUGGCUGCAACUGUUUAUUAAAAACACAGCACUGUGCAAACACGAAAGUGGACGUAUACGGUGUGACGCCUGCCCGGUGCCGGAAGGUUAAUUGAUGGGGUCAGCG